rnacentral:rRNA from 1 species
UACAGAGGUGGCAAGCGUUGUUCGGAAUUACUGGGCGUAAAGGGUUAGUAGGUGGCCAACUAAGUCAGACGUGAAAUCCCUCAGCUUAACUGGGGAACUGCGUCUGAGACUGAUUGGCUCGAGGACAGGAGAGGAACGCGGAAUUCCAGGUGUAGCGGUGAAAUGCGUAGAUAUCUGGAGGAACACCGGUGGCGAAGGCGGCGUUCUGGACUGUUUCUGACACUGAAUAACGAAAGCCAGGGGAGCAAACGGG